rnacentral:rRNA from 1 species
AACGAACGCUGGCGGCAUGCCUAACACAUGCAAGUCGAACGAGACCUUCGGGUCUAGUGGCGCACGGGUGCGUAACGCGUGGGAACCUGCCCUUAGGUUCGGAAUAACUCCCCGAAAGGGGUGCUAAUACCGGAUAAUGUCUUCGGACCAAAGAUUUAUCGCCUUUGGAUGGGCCCGCGUUGGAUUAGCUAGUUGGUAGGGUAAAAGCCUACCAAGGCGACGAUCCAUAGCUGGCCUGAGAGGAUGAUCAGCCACACUGGGACUGAGACACGGCCCAGACUCCUACGGGAGGCAGCAGUGGGGAAUAUUGGACAAUGGGCGAAAGCCUGAUCCAGCAAUGCCGCGUGAGUGAUGGAGGCCUUAGGGUUGUAAAGCUCUUUUACCCGGGAUGAUAAUGACAGUACCGGGAGAAUAAGCUCCGGCUAACUCCGUG